AGCAGCCGCGGUAAUUCCAGCUCCAAUAGCGUAUAUUAAAAGUUGUUGCAGUUAAAAAAGCUCGUAGUUGAAUUUCGGGAUCAGUACGCCGGUCAUGCCUUCGGUAUGUACUGGUGUUACUGGUUCCUACCUCCUGACGAACCGUCAUGUCAUUAAUUUGGUGUGGCGGGGAAUCAGGACUGUUACUUUGAAAAAAUUAGAGUGUUUAAAGCAGGCUCGCGCUUGAAUACAUUAGCAUGGAAUAAUGAAAUAGGACGUUCGAUCCUAUUUUGUUGGUUUCUAGGAUUGACGUAAUGAUUAAUAGGGAUAGUUGGGGGCAUUAGUAUUCAAUUGUCAGAGGUGAAAUUCUUGGAUUUAUUGAAGACUAACUACUGCGAAAGCAUUUGCCAAGGAUGUUUUCAUUAAUCAAGAACGAAAGUUAGGGGAUCGAAGACGAUCAGAUACCGUCGUAGUCUUAACCAUAAACUAUGCCGACUAGGGAUCGGAUGAUGUUAUUUUUAAUGACUCAUUCGGCGCCUUA
rnacentral:rRNA from 1 species